GUGAGUCAUCGAGUCUUUGAACGCACCUUGCGCUCGUUGGUAUUCCGACGAGCAUGCCUGUUUGAGUGUCAUUAAAUUCUCAACCUCAACACUUUUGUGAUUGAUGGCUUGGAUGUGGAGGUUUUUCUGCAGGCUGUUAAAGUCUGCUCCUCUCAAAUGAAUUAGUGGGUGCCCCGCGCAAACCUAUCUAUUGGUGUGAUAAUUAUCUACGCCGUGGAUUAUAGGAUUGCUGUAAAAAGGUGUUUGCCCUGCUUCUAACUGUCCUCUGGACAACUUGAACCAUUUGACCUCAAAUCAGGUAGGACUACCCGCUGAACUUAA
rnacentral:rRNA from 1 species